rnacentral:misc_RNA from 1 species
GAAAUGCGAUAAUUAAUGUGAAUUGCAGAAUUCAGUGAAUCAUCGAGUCUUUGAACGCACAUUGCGCCCCCUGGUAUUCCGGGGGGCAUGCCUGUCCGAGCGUCAUUGCUGCCCUCAAGCACGGCUUGUGUGUUGGGCUUCCGUCCCUGGCAACGGGGACGGGCCCAAAAGGCAGUGGCGGCACCAUGUCUGGUCCUCGAGCGUAUGGGGCUUUGUCACCCGCUCCCGUAGGUCCAGCUGGCAGCUAGCCUCGCAACCAAUCUUUUUAUCCAGGUUGACCUCGGAUCAGGUAGGGAUACCCGCUGAACUUAAGC